GACGAACGCUGGCGGCGUGCCUAACACAUGCAAGUCGAACGGUAAGGCCGUGCUUUGGUGGGGUGCUUGAGUUGCGAACGGGUGAGUAACACGUGGGUAACCUGCCCGUUACCGUGGGAUAACUUCAGGAAACUGGAGCUAAUACCGCAUAGUAGUUCCUGCUGCAUGGCGUUGGUUGGAAAGUUUCGGUUGUUUGGGUACGACUGGCGGCUUAUCAGCUUGUUGGUGGGGUAGGGGCUUACCACGGCUUUGGCGGGUAGCCGUCCUGGAGGGGUGGCCGGCCACCUUGGGACUGAGAGACGGACCAGAAUCCUACGGGAGGCAGCAGUGGGGAGUAUGACAGAAUGGGCGGGAGCCUGAUGAGGAGACGCCGCGUGCGGGAUGACCGCUUUUAGGUUGUAAACCGCUGUCGCAUGUGACGAUGCGUGAGUUGCGGUAAUGGGUAAAGAAGCACCGGCUAAAUACGUGC
rnacentral:rRNA from 1 species